UACGUAGGGGGCGAGCGUUGUUCGGAUUUACUGGGCGUAAAGCGCGCGUAGGUGGUUCGAUAAGUCGGAGGUGAAAUCUCUCGGCUCAACCGAGAACCCGCGUCCGAUACUGUCGAACUUGAGUGCAGGAGAGGAGAGCGGAAUUCCCAGUGUAGCGGUGAAAUGCGUAGAUAUUGGGAGGAACACCGGUGGCGAAGGCGGCUCUCUGGACUGUUACUGACACUGAGGCGCGAAAGCUAGGGGAGCAAACGGG
rnacentral:rRNA from 1 species